rnacentral:tRNA from 1 species
GCGGGAGUAGCUCAGCCCGGUAGAGCACCACCUUGCCAAGGUGGCUGUCGCGAGUUCAAAUCUCGUCUCCCGCU